rnacentral:lncRNA from 10 species
GCCACUGAUCCCUGGUUGUUUCAGCUCACCGCAGGGCAGCCCUGAGGGGCUGGUGUCCAGAGCUCCCCAGGAGACUGACUGAAGCCCUGUGUCCCUGCACCGCCCUGGACUUCUUCCUGUGCCCUUCCCUCCGCCCCUCCCCACAGAUAUCGAUCCAGAUAAAUACCCUGAGCUGUCCUGCAUACAAAGUCCAGCUCCACAUCUGCUCCUGGGGGUGCCACCUGUGACACCUGCUUACAGAGACAGGGGAAGGGGCUCAUCUCAGGCUGGCAUCCUCCAGAGCCAAGGAUUUGGGGACCAGUGCUUUCUCAAGGAGGUGCUCAUGGGAGCCAGGAACGGGAGGAAAGCAGUCCUGGCUGGAGCGGGGAGCCCAGACUCCGCCUGAUCCAGUGGGGGCUUCCGGGCCUCAGUGGCUCUUCAGAAGUCUAUCUUGCCCCAGGCCUGGGCGUGGGGCUGUUGGUCCCAGGUUAACCCAGUACCAUAGGGGGAAGCAGUGGCACCAGUGCUCAAGGGCAGCCUCCAAAGGCCAGGUGGUGCCUGCAGGCUGAGUCUGCAGAGGCUGAUGGAUGGGCGCACGGUGCUGGAGGAAGAUUGUCUGGGAAGUAGGCACCAGCCAGUGCACUAUAGGGGCACAGGUCAUUGCAGAGUUCGGGACUAUUUGUGUUCCUAUCACCUCACACAUUUGCCUUGACUUGAGUCAAGAGGAGGACCAUAAGUCCUGUGAAAAAAGGUAGAAAUGAGAUUUCUCAAAACAAAUGAAUCAGUGCUCUGCGGGGAAGGCUUGGUGAGAUCUUUACAUCUGAAAAACAGCUGGCGCAGGCCACAAAGCUGGUGCUGCCCUGGUAAGGCCUCUGGGAGACUGCGCGACCAUGGUUCAGACCAAAGCCGAUGAUUCAGCCCAGUGAUCUGCAGCUGGUGGGUUCGGGUUAGGAUCACCUGUGUGGUCACAUGUGGAUAAAAAUGGAGAAACGUAAUCACUCUGCUUCUGUUUCAUGUAUUCUUCUCUUUCUUUGGAAAACAUCCCAAACUCAGUCUCCACAGAACCCGCCACAGGGACUGCGUGGGAAGUGUGUGGUGUAGCUGAGGAAGGGGACAGGGAACCCAGCUCAGGAUUUGGCCAAGUGAUUCUUCCCCAAGCUCCUGGCUCUGCCUUAACUGCCUAGAAGUACAUCAGGACUGUAACAAGUUCAUCAUGGGAGAGGUUUGACCACCAGGUAAUAUUCCCUGUGGGCAGGGCUCCUGGGUCCAUUUUGAUGGGUCUGUGGUUAGAGUUGACCUGGCAGCUUUGAGAAGGAGAGACUUGUCUGUGCAUGAACAAGAGGAAGGACUGAUGUUGAAGUGGUGGUGCCAUUCCCAUCAGCUGUUCUAUUCCACAGGGCCCAGUAGACCCACGGCCCUGUGUUAGGUCUGGCCAGCUGGCACGGUCACCUACUUCUGACUUUUUCCAAGACUGCAGCCAAAGGAUGGUAUCUCUGAAGGCAAAAAUAUGGCUUGCUGAAAAUGUCCAUCUUCAGUGAAUGAGAUCUGAUUUUUUUCCUAGGAAGAUUUUUGAAAUCUAGAUGGAACCUUCUCCAAACAGGCAGAAACAGUCCAGCCUCCAGGUAAUCUGCUGAGUGAUGCUGUCAUUCCGGAGCACAGGCGAGCUUGUGGGCACUGCACCUGUGACGUGUCAUCCCCAGCACAAGAAUGCCAUCACCCUGAACAGCACUGGAGAAACUGAAGCUGCGGGGAGAUGCUGUGGGAGGGAGCAGGUGCCAGGGCAGCCCUCCUGUGUUGGGGCUUUCUGUGAAGCAGGAAAGGGCUGUGUUUACGACGUGGUGGAGGGAGAGCUGCUGUGGGCAGGUAAGGCCUCCACCCAGGAAGUCAGGAAGAUCAUGGAUGGAAAGGGCUGUCCCAACGGCCCCCAAUUCCCACGCACAGCUUGAAAGCUAGGCUGCACCAGUGCCCUUGGAGAUGCUGCAGCUUGUUCCUGGAAGUCAGCAGUCCUGCCCAGGAAAUGUGUGUGUGCACAGCUCACCCCCAAAGACCACGGCUCUGCGGGAGGACCCUGGGGGUCGAGGUCUCCACCUCCUAAGGGCAGUGGUGAGACACACACCUGUUCAUGUUGGCUGACAUCGAGUGUGUUACCUCUGAGCACUAGCGUGUCUCAUGGGCGAUAUCCACUUCCUGCAUUCUUAAAGAUGAGUUGGUUGGCUGCAGUGUUGAAGUUUCCCAAGGUUUUAGAUCGGAGAGAAAGCAGUUAUGACCCAGCAAGUACUAAUGUUAAUAAUAGUCUCCACGGAGUGCUGUGGCAGCAGGAGCCGCAGUGAGAGGCAACCCAGCAGUGAAGGAAGAGGGAGCCACUUGGGGAACCGUGUGGUUCAGAGAUGCCCGGGUAGAAAAGGACCAGAAAAGGGCUCCCUGGGCUACACGGCCGGAGCUCCCUGGCAACCCUGGAGUGGAAGGGCAGGAACCAGCCUGCAGUGGACGGAGGCGCCAGGAGGUGGUGAGAAGUGAAAACGAGAACCUGGGCCACUUUCCAGGCUCUGCUGCUUGGGGAGGAGAGAAGCUCGAGAGCUCCAGGUUCACAGAGGAUGCCUUCAGUACGGGAGAAGCUCCAGCAAGUUUGCUUGUGAACGGAAAAGAGCCGUGAGCUACGGGGUGAUGAAAACACAGAAUCAGCAGAGAGUUUUGGGCUCCUGAGGUCCUCGGAGCUAAGGAGAGGGGCUCAGGACAGGACGGAAGCGACUUGAACUCCGCACCGUGUCCCUGUCACCAGCAGCCAUCCCACAGGGCCACGGGACACCAGGACCUCUUCCUCCCAGCCAGAAGCAAUGGUGUGUCCUCUAACGAAGCUCUCCCUGCGAAGCAGCAGUUCCUGGGAUGAAAGGAGCUCACGCCGGAGGAGGACGUUGAUCUGAAGGCCGCAGGAUUCCUGCUGCCAUCCCCAACAGCCUGCCUUCGCGUUCCCUGGUACUGGAUACGGGGAGCUGGGAGCCUCAGGCAUGAGAAGCCCUUGCCGUCGGGGCGGGUCUGUCCCGGGAAGGCAGGUCGUGUCUGCCAUAGACAGUGCCUCCUGCGGUGUCCCCAUCUCCGUGGAAGGGGACCUGGGUGACCAACUCUGUGGCUGGACCAACUGCUCCACAACAGGGGGAGGGGAACCAGUUUCACUGCUCAGCCAGGGCCCACGUUUGCCCUGAAUCUGCUCUUGGCCGGGUGCGGGGACCCCAGGGGCCCCCGGCAAGGCGCAGUCUGGAGAUGUCCGUGAAAAGAGGCAGUUUCCGUGGGAACAGGGUGGUCAGGAGCCCAAGGAAGCCUCAGCAUGCCCUGAGCUGGGGACAGAGGAAAGAGUGGUGGACGCGGGGCUAGGGACCUUGGACCUUGAGCUGGCCAUGCACAGACCCAGUUAGCCACAGAGCUCUCCGGACUGGGGAUGGCUGAGACACAGCCUGGGCUGGACUGAACAGCUUCCAGAGGAGAACGGACAGGUGCCACGUGGUCAGGGAAGCCCCCACGGAGUCCGACGUGGCGGUGACUGCGGAUGCCCCACGGUGAGCCCGAGUCCAAGGGAGCAAAGAAGGAGAGGGCGUGUUUGGCUGCGUGAAAACAGUAGGAACGUUCUGAAAUCACGGAAUCCUUAUGAGAAGAACUCGUCAUCCAAUACCCAACAGGAGCUGCUCCUGCCCCGGUCUUCACAACGCGAGGGCUCCAUCCUCCGUGAUCCUUGAUAGCUCAGCUCUAGGAUCUUCACAACGAGAGGGCUCCGUCCUCUGUGGUCCUUGAUAGCUCAGCUCUAGGGCCGCGCACAUUCUUGGUAGAGUGGGACGUGUCUGCUGUUUUUCUAAAAGCUAUUUUUUAAAGGCCUCUGCAACACACAACAUACGUUCUUUUAAACCGCAGUGAAAACUUGAAUGUAAAAAUGGGCCUCACGGGAAUCUUUUCAAUAUUUUACAUUUCUUCGGAUACUUUUCAAAGCCCCUCCAUUUCUCCACCUCCCCUUUCUCAUCUGGUCUCAGCCGGCACAGUGUGGCACGGAGGUGGACCGAUUUCCUCAGGACACCACAGCCAAAGCUCGGAAAACCAGGUUUCCUGAGUUUCAGUUCAGCCAUCCACGACUGUGGUGACAGGCAUCGUGUCUUUCUCUUUAAGAAAAAAAGAAAAUUGUAUAUAAAUCACUGCUUUCAGCUCAGCAGGGAUGAAGUUGUGAGGAUGGUGCCUUCCUCAGGGUGGGACCCCAGUGGGGAUGAGAAUCAGCAGGGCCCUAGGCCCCAGCAGUGGCUUUCGCAUGAUUGAGAAAUGGAUCCCAGGGUGGGAAGGAAUAAACGGCAAACCACAAGGGCCCAGUGAACCAGGGAACACACAGCAGCCUCUGGAAACGAAGGGGUUUCCUGGGGAGAAGGCAGUGGAUGCUGAUUGGUCAAUAUUACAAGUCCAGCCCGAGCCAGGUGCGCCUGCAGAUGACCUCCCGGAACGUUCCCAGCCCAUGGAGGCAGGGAAAUCAGCCUUCAGGCAGAAUGGCCCUGAGACUGCAGGGAUCCAUGUGUAGCCCUGGCUCUUGACCUCCACCUGAUCCGGCCGGGCCCUCUGCCUUCCAAGAACCACCUACAAGGACAAGAACAGAUUCCAGAGAAUGCCUCUUCCUGGACCAGGGAAAGUGCGGGUUCCAGCGAGACUUCUGAGAAGCGUCACGUCCUCUGAUGAGUCACCUGGCCUGCAGGUUUCAGGGACCCAUUUCCAGGAUUUCCUGGGCUCGACAGGCCCCAUGAGCCCCAUUUCUACAAUCGGGAGUCUGUGUCUGUUGAGGAGGGGUGGAGGGAGUUGUAUUCUAUGGGUAUAUGAGGAAAGGCUAAACAGGAUAGAACCUGGAGCAUAAAAAUGGGCUUCUAGGAAAUGGUGUAAGCUAAAGAGAAAAGUGAAAGAAAACUCUCCCCUGGAAAGCUACAAAUAAACAGAAUAAAAUGAGUGGAGUAAUAUUCUCCGGGACCUGUUCUUAGAGAAAUUCUCUGGAAAUGUUUUAAAGUGAAAUUAAUACUUCAUACUACCUUUAAUGUAAGCAUGAUUUGUUUUUAAUGUUAUAUUAAAUGUCAAUUUGCAAAAAAGAUUCCGUAGGUACCAAGGAUCCUGCUUUUCCCAGGUAAAGGCAACCUGACCAUGUUGGCUGUGUUUUAAUUAAACCUGGGCCCCGGCCAGAGUGGCUCCCUGUGCAGGGUUCUCAUCAGCAGAGGCUCUGUGCUCACGGAAUUUCUAGGCUCAGCGCUGCAGUGGGACCCUGAGCUGAACAACCCGACACCCAGGCUCUGCUCCAGCGAGGCCUUGCUGGUUUCGCUGGCUUCCUCUAGGACACCUGCACUCUGAGUCAGACUCCGCUCCCCAGAAACAGCCCCGGGACCCUGGGAAAAGGCACUGGCCAGGGAGGUCACGACCUUGACCAGCUGACCAAGUGCAGGGCACAGCUUGGCUGCCAGCCAGAGACUUUGCCUGGGGCUGUGUGUGCGGCUUCUGUGUUCAGGGAGGAAUGAGUCUCAUCUCAACCAACUCAGAAGCCAGCACUGCUCCAGCUUUUAUUGCAGGAGGAUUCCGGAAACUUCCAUGACCUAAGGAACGUGGGUAAAUGCAACAGAGGAAACAGAAGCAAACCAGGACAGGCCGAGAAGCCAGGCGGGAGAGCUGUGGCCUGCCUGGGCUCACCCUGACACCGCACAAGGAAGCACAGCCGGACUAGCGUAGCGAGGGCGCCCAGGCCUGCCCUGCACCUGCGGGAACCACUUGGGGCAGGCUCCUGUUUCGUGACACAGGCUCCUGUUUCGUGACACAGGCUCCUGUUCCAUCCACGGGCAGGGUUGGCCCCGCGAGGCCCACAGACAUGGGUGGAGCUCCCUGAGGCACCCUUGCUGGGUACUCCGGGUGCAGAAGGAGGCGUUGGACACUGCAAGGCCAGGAGGUGAGGUGCUGUCCAGGCCCUGCCAUCAUUUUCAGCAAACCUGCAGAGCUGCCCUCUGCGCCCCAGCCCCCUGUGUGAGGAGCAGAGACGGCUGUGCACCCGGGAGGCCAGUGACGCUCCUGGACGCAGCAUGGGGAGGCUGGAUGCAUAGGGUCCAGGGCGUAUGCAUCCUGCUCCUGGCCCUGUUCCUGGCCAGGCUGGCUGACCCUCACUAGCCGCUCCACCUGGAUGCUCUGGGGGCACCAGACCCAGCCUCUCAGAGGGAAGCAGGGCCAGGAAGAGGCAGGCACUGGCCAGGGGCUCUUGGAGAAGCGGCCCUGAGAGUAGGGGCCAGCCCAUGCCAGGCUGGGGCUGAGGGUGUUCAGCUCUGCCCUGGAGUCCUUGACCUUUGUGGGGGCAGCCCCUAGACCCCAAAUGUCCACAGCGUCUGCCCCUCCCCAGGGUGCCAAGGAUGGCUCAACCCAAGGACAGCAACUGACCUAAGGCUGCUGGUGCCCAGUGGACUCUGACGUGGGCUGUAUGCAUCAGUGAGUGUAUGUGAGGGUGUGUGAGUGUGUGUGUGUGCAGGAGGGCAGUGCGUGUCUGCUGCUUCCUUGUGUGUGCAUGUGUGAGUGGUGCCGUGCAUGUCUGCUGCCUCCAUGUCAGUGUGCGUGUGCCUGUGAGAGUUGCCUCUGUGUGUGUUUGUGUGUGUUUGAGUGGUGCCAUGUGUGUCUGGUGCCUUUGUGUGUGUGUGUGUAUGUGGGUUACCAUGUGUGUCUGCUGCCUCCUUGUGUGUGCAUGUGUGUGUGUAUGUGAGUGUGAGAGUGGUACUGUGUCUGUGGCCUCUGUGUGAGUGGGAGUGUGCGUGUGUGUGUUUGCAUGUGUGUGUGUGCUUAUGAGUGCUGCCAUGUGUCUGCUGCCUCUGUGUGAGUGGGGGUGUGCAUGUGUGUGUUUGCGUGUGUGUGUGCUUGUGAGUGCUGCUGUGUGUCUGCUGCCUCCAUGUGAGUGGGAGUGAGCGCUGGAGCAUCUGAACUCCUGGUCCCCCCAGCGGGGACUCUCCCGCCUCCUGUUGGAGGACGCCGGAUGGGUGCUCCCCUGGGAGGGAUGAGGCAGCCUGUCUCCAGCCCUGCUUGCACCAGUGCAUGCACAUGGACCCCCUCAACCUUCCCUGAAGUCCAGAAGGGAGGCCUUGCUAGGGAUCCUGUGGUUCCCCUUCCACAGAUCUCAGGGCUCCUGGAAAGCCCAGGAAAUUCGAGCACACCAAGGAACAGACUGUGCCCCCUCUGCUUUCCAGGCCUCCAUGCAUUAUCCUCCUAGACUCGGGGCCAGCGGGGAGGGAAGCGUCCUCAGCCUCAGUGGCAGAUGUGGAAAUGAAUGAUUUGCUGGAAAACACAGAGCUAGUGGAUGGUAGGGCUGGGGUCUGAACCGUCGUCGGGCUGAGUCCACCAUGUGUGACUUUUCGUUCUAUGCCACUGCCGUCUGUGUGUGGGCAAUGCCAGUUGCCUCCCCAGGUGCCGGGUCAUGAGUGGAUACAAGGAUGAGCCCAGAGGACCUGUGCAAGGUCAACAGGUAGUGCCCAAGGUCAGCACCUAACAUCCCCCUGCCUGCUGGAGGGGGCGUGUCCAUGGCCCACCGUCUGCGGCUCCCGUCCAGCCUCUGGGGUGUGGGGGCCUCCGUGGUUUAUUUAGGUCUAUAACAGUCUUUCAGGCAAGCGCACUCUGGAGGGACCAGGGUUCCUCCCACACAGAUCAUAAUUUCAGUCCCAGAAUCUCAUUCCCAAGAAAUAUCGUUUAGGACCCCAAGGAACUUUUAAUUAACUCAGCCUUUCGUGGAGCCAGUAAAUGCAAAUAGCUAGCGAUGAAUUCCUCAAGUUAUCUGGGAUAAAUGAUGGCUGUGGAAAUGAUCUCUCUUAAGAGCCGUGGGAAUUCGUGCAGUUUGAAGGGAGUCUGAGUUUCUGAGUCUGCCCGUGCAGCACGUCCCCUGGAAUGAGGUUUGUGCUCUGCCUGCGUUCAUUUUUAGAGCAAAAGAGAAGCAACACCGAAUUAAAGUGUGUUACGUCUGUGCCUAAUAGACGGAUUACCAAUAAAUAAUAGGCAGUUGAUGUGCCCUGCGAACAGGCAUUUUGGAGGAGGAACCAGGUACCGCCUUGUGGUGGGGGACGACACCUGGGCAGGCGACAGGGGGCUGGUGCCAACCCCUUGACUUCCAGGCAGAGUCAGUCUCAACUGCGGAAGUGAGUUGACCCGCCCUCCACUCCGCUCCGCGUGUGGGCUGAUUGCUGGGUGUUUCCACUCCAGGCUACCCUGCCGACCUGUCCUUCCAGAACCUGGUCCCCACCAAACCACCUUCCCAGCAAGGCUUUCUAAAGGGAGUUCUUAGAAUUUGGGAUCAAAAGCACAGAAAUGAGAGCCCAUAUAACAAUAGGGAAACAGCGAGACACAGACCUUGUUUUUGAAGCUGGAAUGUGAAUUAAGCUCAAUUUGGACGGCCUCGCUCGAGGUGCAAUAACUCUAAAUUAGCUCUAAAGGAAGGAUGGGCGGCUGAGAUUGAUGCUCGCGCCUAAGAAGUAAACCGCGCUUAUUGGUUUUAUCUCCGCCUUACAGGAAACAGCCCUUAAUAGAGGGGCAUUUACUGUCACUUCCUGAGGAAUAAAGACAUUAAAGAUGUUUGAUACUUAAAAU